rnacentral:lncRNA from 1 species
CAUGACCACAUAACAUGAUUUCAGCAUUGUACAUUGUUAAUUUUGGACCUGAUAACAUCAUUUGAUGGGCCUACGGCACGCCCAUGCAAGCAUGCAAGGCAAUUGCUAAAUUUGGCAAAUUUUGGAAGUGUGUGGAAAUGAAUCAUAAUGCCUAUAAAUACAACCCUCUUGGCUCAGAAUUGAGGACCUCAUGCCCAAGCUUUCAACCUGCAAUCCAAACUGUAACACCCC